rnacentral:tRNA from 2 species
CUCGCCGUGGCCCGGUUGGUAGGGGCGCCUCGCUGAUAACGAGGAGGGCGCAGGUUCGAUCCCUGCCGGCGAGA